rnacentral:miRNA from 1 species
AGACCUAUCUGUCGAUAUUGCC